GAUGAAGAACGUAGCGAAAUGCGAUAAGUAAUGCGAAUUGCAGAAUUUCCGUGAGUCAUCGAAUCUUUGAACGCACAUUGCGCCCAUUGGUAUUCCGAUGGGCAUGCCUGUUCGAGCGUCAUUAUCUUCCCUCAAACCUCGCGUUUGGUGUUGGGCCGUGCUGGUUCCUGCGUGACCAACUGGCCUCAAAGACAAUGACGGCGGCGUCGUUGGGACCCCCGGUACACUGAGCUUCUUAACUGAGCACGUACUGGACGCGGGUACGCGACGCACGGUCUGCCUCCCCUUUAAGGGAGAACUUUUUCUUAAGGUUGACCUCGGAUCAGGUAGGAAUACCCGCUGAACUUAAGCAUAUCAAUAAGCGGAGGA
rnacentral:misc_RNA from 1 species